rnacentral:rRNA from 1 species
AGAGUGAACGCUGGCGGUAGGCCUAACACAUGCAAGUCGAACGGCAGCACAGUAGGAGCUUGCUCUUACGGGUGGCGAGUGGCGGACGGGUGAGGAAUACAUCGGAAUCUACCUUUUGGUGGGGGAUAACGUAGGGAAACUUACGCUAAUACCGCAUACGCCCUUCGGGGGAAAGCCGGGACCAGCAAUGGCCUGGCGCUGAUAGAUGAGCCGAUGUCGGAUUAGCUAGUUGGUGAGGUAAUGGCUCACCAAGGCGACGAUCCGUAGCUGGUCUGAGAGGAUGAUCAGCCANACUGGAACUGAGACACGGUCCAGACUCCGUA